rnacentral:misc_RNA from 1 species
AACGCACAUUGCGCCUCUUGUAACAGAGAGGCAUGCCUGUCUGAGUCUCAUUUAAACUCCUAGCCCGAGAGGGCUUGUGUAUGGGUGCUCGCUUGUCUGGCGUCGCCUCAAAAUCAUCUGUCUUAUGAGCGGACGAGUUCCGAAUGGACUGACCGUUUGUGGGACAUGAAAUCCAUGAUUUGAGCUCAGAUCAGGUAGGACUACCGCCUGAACUUAA